UACGUAGGGGGCAAGCGUUGUCCGGAAUUAUUGGGCGUAAAGAGCUCGUAGGCGGCCUGUUGCGUCCGCUGUGAAAGCCCGGGGCUUAACCCCGGGUCGGCAGUCGAUACGGGCAGGCUAGAGGUAGGUAGGGGAGAAUGGAAUUCCCGGUGUAGCGGUGAAAUGCGCAGAUAUCGGGAGGAACACCGGUGGCGAAGGCGGUUCUCUGGGCCUUACCUGACGCUGAGGAGCGAAAGCGUGGGGAGCGAACAGG
rnacentral:rRNA from 1 species